CACCUAUUGCGUGUGCAGUUUCGGCAUGGUCUAUUGAUGGAUUGCAGCCAGUUUCGUACUGGUCUCUGCGGAAUCCAGACGUAUUUCGCGUAUUUCUUUUUAUCGGACUUCUAUUUUCAAAGGUUGCAUUAUAUUCGGUCAUCAGUUGACUUAGUUGUUAUAUGCAUCUGCAGUGUUUUGUUAAUGAUUAAUUGUGCGUUUGAUGUUUAUAUUUGAAAUUACAAUGCUGCGGUUUUAGAAUUUGUCGGUUGUGACGUGGUCGGUCGCUAGAUCAACCAGAAACAUAUUCGUGCUUAAUAUUUGCCGUACCCUUGCAAUCCGAUGAGCGCUGCAUUUCAAUUGCCUUCGAGUUCCGAUGCCUGACUUACUAGCUAAGUUAGAAUUCGAAUUUCAUUCGCUUCGUCGUUCGACUCCCGAUUUAAAAUAAAAUAAAUAUUGACAGCCCUUCCCGCAUUUCCGCUUAACAAUGUUAUUUAUUUCACAGAUUUUAUCAUCUUCAACAAUAGUUCUGAGUGUUGCAACGAGUGUAAUACUGGUAUGUGUUGUUGGAUGAAGCAUUGACUCAUCCUGAGAUGACCAAGUCUAUCAAUAGGGAUCAACUGGAGAGGUUCCGUGGUACUGGUGGAGGAGUCCGUAUUGAGGAUUAUGUUUUAAUUACUGAAGAUGGAUGUGUCAACUGGACCUAAGUUCCAAGAACUGUACAAGAAAUUGAAGAUUGGAUGCCGGUGUUGAUGAUGAUUCCAAACGCGAUUGAAUGAAUUUACAACAUCUUGAAGCUGUUAUUGUUAUCAUUUUUGUUUAUUUUGUUAAAAGUUAUAAAAAAAGAAUUAUAUAAUUGCAUAUUAUUAUCCUGUUUUCUUGCUUGUAUUGUUGAAAAUGCUGUAUACAUUAAGAAAUUGAGUUUGUGAUUGUGUAUAUUCUACAUGUUUGAAUAAAAAGGUAGUUUUAUAUUUUGACUAUAAA